GUGCACGCUGGCGGUAGGCCUAACACAUGCAAGUCGCACGGCAGCACAGUAAGAGCUUGCUCUUCCGGGUGGCGAGUGGCGGACGGGUGAGGAAUACAUCGGAAUCUACUUUUUCGUGGGGGAUAGCGUAGGGAAACUUACGCUAAUACCGCAUACGACCUACGGGUGAAAGCAGGGGAUCUUCGGACCUUGCGCGAUUGAAUGAGCCGAUGUCGGAUUAGCUAGUUGGCGGGGUAAAGGCCCACCAAGGCGGCGAUCCGUAGCUGGUCUGAGAGGAUGAUCAGCCACACUGGAACUGAGACACGGUCCAGACUCCUACGGGAGGCAGCAGUGGGGAAUAUUGGACAAUGGGCGCAAGCCUGAUCCAGCCAUACCGCGUGGGUGAAGAAGGCCUUCGGGUUGUAAAGCCCUUUUGUUGGGAAAGAAAAGCAGCAGGUUAAUACCCCGCUGUUCUGACGGUACCCAAAGAAUAAGCACCGGCUAACUUCGUG
rnacentral:rRNA from 1 species